UCAGCACCAGUUAGAAAACACCGGUCUUUAUAUGUGUGUGUUGACUCUGCUGUUAUUGUGAAGACAUUUUUGACUUAGAACAAAUAAUAAACAUCUAUGAUUAGCUUUUGUUUUCAUAACAAUUACCAAUGACAUCUCGCGCUGACGAGACUGAAGAAACCACUGUCUUUCCUGUCAAGACUGUUGUGACUUUAUGAUCCAGAUCACUAUGGUACGCCAUAGCAAACUCCAGAAACAGGUCUUAACCCUUUAUCGACAGUUUCUGCGCGCGGCUCAGGACAAGCCAGGGUUCAUACCGAGAAUACGUGAUGAGUUCCGUGCCAACGCUGCCAUCAAGAAGACGGACGUCAUGCACAUAGAAUAUCUUUAUCGGCGAGCCCAACACCAACUCGAACUGCUUAAAGAUGUAAAUACUAAACAACUUGGAUCAUUCAGCAAGUCUAAAGAGGACAGUUGACCACUCAUAACAACCUAUUUUAUCAUUACUGUAUUCAAACAUUUAACAGAAUGUGUCUUGAAAAGAACAAAUACAUAUUUUUUUCUGGGAAAGCACCUCAACGGCUUUAGUUAUUUAAUCUGAAAGACCAAUGAGACUCUUACUCUUCUCAGGAAAGCUUGCAACGUGAAGUGUUUUAGGAGUUGAAGCUAGAAAAGUUGAACUCAUUCAAGUUUAAAUGUUAUUUAUGCACAUUAACUGGCAGACCCUUUUUUGUUUUGCUGCGAUAUGUUUGUUCUCGUUUUGUUUUGUUUUUUGUAAGUGAGUCUACUAUAUUACUAGAUGUAUUAUGUACUUUUAGAGUGAGUAUAAUGCAGUGUUUUAAAGAUCAUAUAUAUUGGCACUACACUCGAUUCAACACAAAUGUUGGAAUAAUAGUUGAUAUUAUCAGUUAUAUUACUGUCUUUGGUCUCACAAUGUGGUAAAAUUCUAAAAGUAGAAAAUAUAGUGAUGUCUAAAUAAUGUAAAGCCUGAGACUUGUCCUAGUGCUAAAAUGGUUGUAAACAAAUGAGAAGUCAUAUCAAAACUUUAAUUCUGAAGGUAAAAUGGUAUGGUCACCCGGAAGAUUUACUCAUCUUCAUAUUUUUUUUUUCCAAACCGAAGAACAUUAGGACUAGAAAUGUUAGUUAGAAUUGCAUCCACAGUCACUAUAUCUACUUUAAUUAUAUGGAAAAAAUUGCAAUGAAAGUGAAUGCAGACUGAGGUUGUAAGUCCCUAACACUCCUCCGUGUCUUUUUCUAAGAAGUUUUGAAGGACAUGAUGUUGAGUAAAUGAAGAUAGAAUUUCAGUUUUUGGAUGAACAAUAUGACCCUACAGAGGAUAAGUGGGAAUGGAAGCUAGACGGAUGAAUUCCUUUAAACAAUGAAUCGGCACGCUAUACCUUAUAGUAUACUUAAAUCUUCAAGGAAUGACCCAAGAUUAGAGUUGGACAAGUUCAAAAUUAUUAAUGACAUUUAUCCAUGUAAUGAAUUCCUCAGAUUUCAUUAGGAUCGUAAACGCUUUUCUGAAUUCAGACAAGGGUCAUUGGAACAUUUAUUUUAUUAAUGCAAAUAUAAAAAAAUAUAUAUAUAUUAGCCUGCCUGAUUUUUCACUCAGAAGUUUAAUGUUGAGUUUUGGCUAAUAAUAUGGUGGCUCUGGUCAAUUGUUUUAUAAAUAAAUGCAGAAUUUUUUAUUUAAUCCUCCGAUCCUUUUGCAUACCCAGAAGGAAUUGUUGUGAUCUUAAGUUUAUUUACAGCCCUUUUUUAUUUUAUUUUAUUUUUUAUUUAUUUUAUUUUUUUGUGAAUGUGAUUUUUAUUUCAUUUUAGGUGUUGUGUUGGUUUUGUAUUUUAUAAGUAAAGAAAAAAUCUUAAACUAAUGACUUGCCCGUCCAGAAGUGGGCGCAAUUGUGAAAUAAAAUCUGACUUUGGAGGAAGAACAGUAUGUAAACAGGAAGAUCACGUCAGCGUCGUCACAAAAGCAAACGACGGGAUUUUAGCAUUUCAUUCUUUGGUUAAUAGUUUAAUGGUUAAUAAUAACCGCGUACAGUAGGAAUACACGUUUAAUUUGUUAUCCCAAAAUAAAAAAAGUAUGUCGGAGGCAAACGGGAUGACAGAUGGCCAGUUGAUUCAGCAGUUGGCUCUGCUGGGUUGGCUGAAGACGGACAGUGUUGAGUGUAAACAGCUGCUCACCGCGGUCACUGGGAUGCAGGUGGCCCGUGAGCUUCUGGACAGACUCUCCGGGCAAAGCCGAAUAGAUGCUUACAGGAGGGAAUGUAUUCAGAGCAUUGCUGACUAUGUGAAGAAGAAUCCCCGGGCUUCUCAGCGGGAGCUCAAUGCAGAGGUUGAGAAGAACGUGCUGCUGUUUGCCUCCAGGGUUCAGGGACUAGAUAGUGGCCACUGAACACAUCACUGCUGCACUGACCUUUACAGCUCUUCUCUGUCCAAAAAUAUCCAUUUUUCUCCCAUUUUUUUUUUCAUCAUCUUGAAUAUUUGUUUUUGUGGACAACAUGUCAGCCUUUAUUGUUUUUUUAAUAAUACAUAUUAGAAAUGCUGAAUUGUACUGGUUAUUUUGUAACAUGAUUUCUGAUUAAAAUGUUACUGUGGUAUUCACCUUUAGUUAAGUUAUACAUAGAGAGAUUUAUCACUUAAGGAUUUGAAUCUUAUAUUUCAAACCUAAAAUAAAGGCAAUCAUAUCCAA